AAACAAAUGUAGCACAUUUGUGAUAUGCACAAUGAUAUUCUUUUUGCAUGUGCUAGCUGUGUAUACAUAUUACAUGAUCUUUUUUCUUUUUUUUCAGCUGCUUCUAGUGGUGGUGCCCCUGGUGUGCACCUUUACCCCAAAUGUCUGCACCUUUGCCUACCGCUGCCUCUGCGAACCCCGCUCCUGGACAACAGCUGGGAGGCUCUGUGUUUAAACGCGUGCACCUUGGACGUCAUGCUCCUGCCUCUGCAAGCCCUUUUGCUGGACGCCAUGGAAGGCCCUCCACUCGAAAGUGUGCACCUUAGACUACACGCUCAUCAAUACCAAGUUCUCUGUCCUUCUCGGCAUGAUUGUAGUGCCAUAUAAUAGUGAGGCA